rnacentral:rRNA from 1 species
GGUUAAGCGACUAAGCGUACACGGUGGAUGCCCUGGCAGUCAGAGGCGAUGAAGGACGUGCUAAUCUGCGAAAAGCGCCGGCGAGGUGAUAUGAACCCUUGACCCGGCGAUGUCCGAAUGGGGAAACCCAGUGUGAUUCGUCACACUAUCGUUAACUGAAUACAUAGGUUAACGAGGCGAACCGGGGGAACUGAAACAUCUAAGUACCCCGAGGAAAAGAAAUCAACCGAGAUUCCCCCAGUAGCGGCGAGCGAACGGGGAGCAGCCCAGAGUCUGAAUCAGCUUGUGUGUUAGUGGAAGCGUCUGGAAAGUCGCACGGUACAGGGUGAUAGUCCCGUACACGAAAGCACACAGGCUGUGAACUCGAAGAGUAGGGCGGGACACGUGGUAUCCUGUCUGAAUAUGGGGGGACCAUCCUCCAAGGCUAAAUACUCCUGACUGACCGAUAGUGAACCAGUACCGUGAGGGAAAGGCGAAAAGAACCCCGGCGAGGGGAGUGAAAAAGAACCUGAAACCGUGUACGUACAAGCAGUGGGAGCACCUUCGGGUGUGACUGCGUACCUUUUGUAUAAUGGGUCAGCGACUUAUAUUCUGUAGCAAGGUUAACCGUAUAGGGGAGCCGAAGGGAAACCGAGUCUUAACUGGGCGUUAAGUUGCAGGGUAUAGACCCGAAACCCGGUGAUCUAGCCAUGGGCAGGUUGAAGGUUGGGUAACACUAACUGGAGGACCGAACCGACUAAUGUUGAAAAAUUAGCGGAUGACCUGUGGCUGGGGGUGAAAGGCCAAUCAAACCGGGAGAUAGCUGGUUCUCCCCGAAAGCUAUUUAGGUAGCGCCUCGUGAACUCAUCUUCGGGGGUAGAGCACUGUUUCGGCUAGGGGGCCAUCCCGGCUUACCAACCCGAUGCAAACUACGAAUACCGAAGAAUGUUAUCACGGGAGACACACGGCGGGUGCUAACGUCCGUCGUGAAGAGGGAAACAACCCAGACCGCCAGCUAAGGUCCCAAAGUCAUGGUUAAGUGGGAAACGAUGUGGGAAGGCCCAGACAGCCAGGAUGUUGGCUUAGAAGCAGCCAUCAUUUAAAGAAAGCGUAAUAGCUCACUGGUCGAGUCGGCCUGCGCGGAAGAUGUAACGGGGCUAAACCAUGCACCGAAGCUGCGGCAGCGACACUCUGUGUUGUUGGGUAGGGGAGCGUUCUGUAAGCCGUUGAAGGUGGCCUGUGAGGGUUGCUGGAGGUAUCAGAAGUGCGAAUGCUGACAUAAGUAACGAUAAAGCGGGUGAAAAGCCCGCUCGCCGGAAGACCAAGGGUUCCUGUCCAACGUUAAUCGGGGCAGGGUGAGUCGACCCCUAAGGCGAGGCCGAAAGGCGUAGUCGAUGGGAAACAGGUUAAUAUUCCUGUACUUGGUGUUACUGCGAAGGGGGGACGGAGAAGGCUAUGUUAGCCGGGCGACGGUUGUCCCGGUUUAAGCAUGUAGGCGGAGGUUCCAGGUAAAUCCGGUACCUUUUAACGCUGAGGUGUGAUGACGAGGCACUACGGUGCUGAAGUAACAAAUGCCCUGCUUCCAGGAAAAGCCUCUAAGCAUCAGGUAACAUCAAAUCGUACCCCAAACCGACACAGGUGGUCAGGUAGAGAAUACCAAGGCGCUUGAGAGAACUCGGGUGAAGGAACUAGGCAAAAUGGUGCCGUAACUUCGGGAGAAGGCACGCUGAUAUGUAGGUGAAGCCCCUGCGGGUGGAGCUGAAAUCAGUCGAAGAUACCAGCUGGCUGCAACUGUUUAUUAAAAACACAGCACUGUGCAAACACGAAAGUGGACGUAUACGGUGUGACGCCUGCCCGGUGCCGGAAGGUUAAUUGAUGGGGUUAGCGGCAACGCGAAGCUCUUGAUCGAAGCCCCGGUAAACGGCGGCCGUAACUAUAACGGUCCUAAGGUAGCGAAAUUCCUUGUCGGGUAAGUUCCGACCUGCACGAAUGGCGUAAUGAUGGCCAGGCUGUCUCCACCCGAGACUCAGUGAAAUUGAACUCGCUGUGAAGAUGCAGUGUACCCGCGGCAAGACGGAAAGACCCCGUGAACCUUUACUAUAGCUUGACACUGAACACUGGUCCUUGAUGUGUAGGAUAGGUGGGAGGCUUUGAAGCGUGGACGCCAGUCUGCGUGGAGCCAUCCUUGAAAUACCACCCUUUAAUGGCUGGUGUUCUAACGUAGACCCGUAAUCCGGGUUGCGGACAGUGUCUGGUGGGUAGUUUGACUGGGGCGGUCUCCUCCCAAAGAGUAACGGAGGAGCACGAAGGUUAGCUAAUCCUGGUCGGACAUCAGGAGGUUAGUGCAAUGGCAUAAGCUAGCUUGACUGCGAGAGUGACGGCUCGAGCAGGUGCGAAAGCAGGUCAUAGUGAUCCGGUGGUUCUGAAUGGAAGGGCCAUCGCUCAACGGAUAAAAGGUACUCCGGGGAUAACAGGCUGAUACCGCCCAAGAGUUCAUAUCGACGGCGGUGUUUGGCACCUCGAUGUCGGCUCAUCACAUCCUGGGGCUGAAGUAGGUCCCAAGGGUAUGGCUGUUCGCCAUUUAAAGUGGUACGCGAGCUGGGUUUAGAACGUCGUGAGACAGUUCGGUCCCUAUCUGCCGUGGGCGCUGGAGAAUUGAGGGGGGCUGCUCCUAGUACGAGAGGACCGGAGUGGACGCAUCACUGGUGUUCGGGUUGUCAUGCCAAUGGCACUGCCCGGUAGCUAAAUGCGGAAGAGAUAAGUGCUGAAAGCAUCUAAGCACGAAACUUGCCCCGAGAUGAGUUCUCCCUGAGACUUAAAGUCUCCUGAAGGAACGUUGAAGACGACGACGUUGAUAGGUCGGGUGUGUAAGCGCAGCGAUGCGUUGAGCUAACCGAUACUAAUGAACCGUGAGGCUUAACCUU